rnacentral:rRNA from 1 species
UGGGGAAUUUUGGACAAUGGGCGAAAGCCUGAUCCAGCAAUGCCGCGUGUGUGAAGAAGGCCUUCGGGUUGUAAAGCACUUUUGUCCGGAAAGAAAUCCUUGGCUCUAAUACAGUCGGGGGAUGACGGUACCGGAAGAAUAAGCACCGGCUAACUACGUGCCAGCAGCCGCGGUAAUACGUAGGGUGCAAGCGUUAAUCGGAAUUACUGGGCGUAAAGCGUGCGCAGGCGGUUUGCUAAGACCGAUGUGAAAUCCCCGGGCUCAACCUGGGAACUGCAUUGGUGACUGGCAGGCUAGAGUAUGGCAGAGGGGGGUAGAAUUCCACGUGUAGCAGUGAAAUGCGUAGAGAUGUGGAGGAAUACCGAUGGCGAAGGCAGCCCCCUGGGCCAAUACUGACGCUCAUGCACGAAAGCGUGGGGAGCAAACAGGAUUAGAUACCCUGGUAGUCCACGCCCUAAACGAUGUCAACUAGUUGUUGGGGAUUCAUUUCCUUAGUAACGUAGCUAACGCGUGAAGUUGACCGCCUGGGGAGUACGGUCGCAAGAUUAAAACUCAAAAGAAUUGACGGGGUCAUAGCUGUUUCCU